rnacentral:tRNA from 1 species
ACCUGACGGGCUCAGUCAGUAGAGCGAGUGACUCUUGAUCUCGAGAUUGUGGGUUCAAACCCCACACUGGGUG